rnacentral:lncRNA from 1 species
AGAGAUACCACCAGCUUCUGAUGGUGUUACACCCUGGAAAUGGCAGUCCAGCUCUAGCUUCUGGAAGGCAACUGGCAAGAGGUAAGGAAGAGAUGGUGGGAAGGUAGCCCCUCUCCUUGUUGGGGAGGAGCUUUCAUCUUAUUCCAGUUCUCAGCAGUAGAAGCUAUGCCUGGAGACUUCCAGGUGUCUCCUGUCCUGGUUCCUGCCUUGUUCUUUCUCUUUUCCCUCAUCCUCAUUUAUGUUUUCACUCCUCCUUCUCCAAUAUUCCAGAAUAUUCAUUCAUCCAUUCAAUGAAUAGGCAUUUAUUGACCACCUCCUUUGUGCCAAUUGCUGUUCUUGAUGCUGUGGUAACAGCAAGAACAGGACUGAACCCAUCCCAAUUUCCAUCUGAGCUACUUCUAGUAGAGGCUGGCAAAUAACAAACAAGUAAAUAAAAUGAAAAGCAUAAUUUGGGAGAGUGAGAAGUGCUCCCAAGGGCAGACAGAAUGGAGAGGGGAGCAAAGAAAGGGAAGGAGGGUGGAGGAGAAAGGGCCCAGCCUCUUAGUGCCUGACUAGCCCUUUGCUGUGAAGGCUCACCUUUCACGCUUGGCUUCUCCCUGAAGCUGGGAGCUACUUCAGGCAGGAGCCAUAUUUGAUUCAGCUGUGUCCAAGGUCAGACGCAAAGCUUCCCCAAACGCUGUUGGGCAGCAGAUUAUACCACAGUGUCUUGAAAUACCUGCAUGGUGUCUAUGUGAGCAAGACCUGCUGCCUCCAAGUGUCCUGUCGGUUGUGUUAAUCACGUGCAUGGGAGGUGAGGGGUGGUAUGUACUUGGAGGGGGAGCCCAUAGCGAAGGGCAGGGGAGAGAGCCACCAACAGCUUCUCCACUCCUUUUAUGGGAUAAACUGGGUGGUCCCUCCAUGUACACAGGCUUCAUGCAGAGCUCUGGAUAUGCUGCAUUAGACCACCUUGUGCCUCAGUUUACUGGAGGGAUAUAACUAACCUCAUCAGGUUCCCUAGAGCAGAGAUUCUCAACAGGGUAAGAAGUGAUUUUGCCCUGCCAUACCCAUAUCAGGGGACAUUUGGCAAUGUCUGGAAACAUUUUUGAUGAUCACAACUCGGGAGGGAGUACACUGGCAUUUAGUGGGCAGAGGCCAGGGAUGCUGCCAAACAUGCCACAAUGCACAAGGCAGAAUUAUCUGG